rnacentral:rRNA from 1 species
CCUACGGGAGACAGCAGUGAGGAAUAUUGGUCAAUGGACGCGAGUCUGAACCAGCCAUGCCGCGUGAAGGAAGACGGCUCUAUGAGUUGUAAACUGCUUUUGUACGAGGGUAAACGCAGAUACGCGUAUCUGUCUGAAAGUAUCGUACGAAUAAGGAUCGGCUAACUCCGUGCCAGCAGCCGCGGUAAUACGGAGGAUUCAAGCGUUAUCCGGAUUUAUUGGGUUUAAAGGGUGCGUAGGCGGUCUGUUAAGUGAGAGGUGAAAUCCCGCGGCUCAACCUCGGAAUUGCCGCUGAUACUGGUCGUCUAGAGUGUAGUAGAGGUAGGCGGAAUGCAUGGUGUAGCGGUGAAAUGCUUAGAUAUCAGACAGAACACCGAUUGCGAAGGCAGCUUACCGGGCUACUACUGACGUUGAGGCACGAAAGCGUGGGUAUCAAACAGGAUUAGAUACCCUAGUAGUC